rnacentral:rRNA from 1 species
AGAGUUUGAUCCUGGCUCAGGAUGAACGCUAGCUACAGGCUAACACAUGCAAGUCGCGGGGCAGCAUGUCGGUUGCUUGCAACCGGCGAUGGCGACCGGCGCACGGGUGAGUAACGCGUAUCCAACCUUCCCCUUAGUAGCGGAUAGCCCGGCGAAAGUCGGAUUAAUACGCUAUGUUCUCCGAAGCAGGCAUCUAGCUUGGAGCAAAGGCUUGCCGCUAAGGGAUGGGGAUGCGUCCGAUUAGCCAGCCGGCGGGGUAACGGCCCACCGGGGCGACGAUCGGUAGGGGUUCUGAGAGGAAGGUCCCCCACACUGGUACUGAGACACGGACCAGACUCCUACGGGAGGCAGCAGUGAGGAAUAUUGGUCAAUGGGCGAGAGCCUGAACCAGCCAAGUAGCGUGCAGGACGACGGCCCUACGGGUUGUAAACUGCUUUUAUGCGGGGAUAAAGUCCACUACGUGUAGUGGUUUGCAGGUACCGCAUGAAUAAGGACCGGCUAAUUCCGUGCCAGCAGCGGC